rnacentral:lncRNA from 1 species
AUGUAUACUAACAAGAGCGAACUAGACAGAAACCAACUGAUCUCUCCUGAAACUCUUUAGAAACAUCAGCAUCUGCUUCAUUAAGUGGGAUCUACCGAUGAAGUCACUCCAUUUACUUAUCAUGUCUCUUACAGUCAAGAAUUAUAGACAACAAGUAUUACAGAGGUGGUAUGUGGUACAAGAGUAUCAAGUCUUCAAGUCUUUUCAGAAGACAAAGGGAGUAGCUGCAUCUGGUCAAUUUAUUCACAUGAAGGCCUAUGAAUGGAAUUUCCAGAACUGUCCUUCUGCCACAUCAAGAAUGAAUUAUUUAUAUACCUACUGAAACAACUGAGGAGAAACCUACAAAAAUAAAUUUGGACUUAUGUUGCAUACCUUAUAUCAAGAUAAGUUCCCAAUGAUUUAAUUAUUUAAAAUAAAAUUUAUCAAGG